UACGUAGGGUGCAAGCGUUGUCCGGAAUUAUUGGGCGUAAAGAGCUCGUAGGCGGUUUGUCGCGUCUGCUGUGAAAUCCCGAGGCUCAACCUCGGGCCUGCAGUCGAUACGGGCAAACUAGAGUACUGCAGGGGAGACUGGAAUUCCUGGUGUAGCGGUGAAAUGCGCAGAUAUCGGGAGGAACACCUAUGGCGAAGGCAGCUCGCUGGGACGUUACUGACGCUGAGACGCGAAAAGCGUGGGGGAGCAAAACGGGAUUAGAAAACCCCU
rnacentral:rRNA from 1 species